AGUAAAAUGGCUGAAUUUAAGCAAUAAAUUGUAAAUUUAUUUAUGAGAAAUAUUUCUUUUUUACUA
rnacentral:tRNA from 1 species